UACGAAGGGGGCUAGCGUUGCUCGGAAUGACUGGGCGUAAAGGGCGCGUAGGCGGAUGGCACAGUCAGAUGUGAAAUUCCCGGGCUUAACCUGGGGGCUGCAUUUGAUACGUGUUGUCUUGAGUUCGGAAGAGGGUCGUGGAAUUCCCAGUGUAGAGGUGAAAUUCGUAGAUAUUGGGAAGAACACCGGUGGCGAAGGCGGCUCUCUGGACCGAGACUGACGCUGAGGCGCGAAAGCGUGGGGAGCAAACAGG
rnacentral:rRNA from 1 species